CUAAGGAGCAUUCUCCACGCCGGCCCACAGUGGUGGGUGCGGGUUGUGGCAGAGCCACUUCGGAAACGAAUGUUUUCCGGUGGUUGCUCAUGGGUGGAACGCUGACAAUCUCCAUCACGUAUGGCUGACGCUGUAGUUCUCGGUGCUGGUGGAUAUAUCAACACACUGUUGAGUCCUGAAAGAACAGGCGUUCUUUCCAGGCAAUAAACAUGAUCUGCUCGGAUUUUCUGAGAUACUGCCGGCUCUGUCGGUGAGUCCAGGAGUUCGGUUCGAGUGGGUGUGUUGUUUGAGAACUGCACAGUGGACGCGAGCAUCUUUGUUUUGUAAGUGUUUUAGAGCGUUC
rnacentral:misc_RNA from 1 species